rnacentral:rRNA from 1 species
UACGUAGGUGGCAAGCGUUGUCCGGAUUUAUUGGGCGUAAAGCGCGCGCAGGCGGUUCGAAAAGUCCAUGGUGAAAGCGCCUGGCUUAACCGGGCGAGGUCGGCGGAAACUGUUUCACUGGAGGACGGUAGAGGGGGGUGGAAUUCCCGGUGUAGUGGUGAAAUGCGUAGAGAUCGGGAGGAACACCUGUGGCGAAGGCGGCCCCCUGGGCCGGCCCUGACACUGAGACGCGAAGGCGUGGGGAGCGAACGGG